rnacentral:rRNA from 1 species
AAAUUGAAGAGUUUGAUCAUGGCUCAGAUUGAACGCUGGCGGCAGGCCUAACACAUGCAAGUCGAACGGUAACAGGAAGCAGCUUGCUGCUUUGCUGACGAGUGGCGGACGGGUGAGUAAUGUCUGGGAAACUGCCCGAUGGAGGGGGAUAACUACUGGAAACGGUAGCUAAUACCGCAUAACGUCGCAAGACCAAAGAGGGGGACCUUAGGGCCUCUUGCCAUCGGAUGUGCCCAGAUGGGAUUAGCUAGUAGGUGGGGUAAUGGCUCACCUAGGCGACGAUCCCUAGCUGGUCUGAGAGGAUGACCAGCCACACUGGAACUGAGACACGGUCCAGACUCCUACGGGAGGCAGCAGUGGGGAAUAUUGCACAAUGGGCGCAAGCCUGAUGCAGCCAUGCCGCGUGUAUGAAGAAGGCCUUCGGGUUGUAAAGUACUUUCAGCGGGGAGGAAGGGAGUAAAGUUAAUACCUUUGCUCAUUGACGUUACCCGCAGAAGAAGCACCGGCUAACUCCGUGCCAGCAGCCGCGGUAAUACGGAGGGUGCAAGCGUUAAUCGGAAUUACUGGGCGUAAAGCGCACGCAGGCGGUUUGUUAAGUCAGAUGUGAAAUCCCCGGGCUCAACCUGGGAACUGCAUCUGAUACUGGCAAGCUUGAGUCUCGUAGAGGGGGGGUAGAAUUCCAGGUGUAGCGGUGAAAUGCGUAGAGAUCUGGAGGAAUACCGGUGGCGAAGGCGGCCCCCUGGACGAAGACUGACGCUCAGGUGCGAAAGCGUGGGGAGCAAACAGGAUUAGAUACCCUGGUAGUCCACGCCGUAAACGAUGUCGACUUGGAGGUUGUGCCCUUGAGGCGUGGCUUCCGGAGCUAACGCGUUAAGUCGACCGCCUGGGGAGUACGGCCGCAAGGUUAAAACUCAAAUGAAUUGACGGGGGCCCGCACAAGCGGUGGAGCAUGUGGUUUAAUUCGAUGCAACGCGAAGAACCUUACCUGGUCUUGACAUCCACGGAAGUUUUCAGAGAUGAGAAUGUGCCUUCGGGAACCGUGAGACAGGUGCUGCAUGGCUGUCGUCAGCUCGUGUUGUGAAAUGUUGGGUUAAGUCCCGCAACGAGCGCAACCCUUAUCCUUUGUUGCCAGCGGUCCGGCCGGGAACUCAAAGGAGACUGCCAGUGAUAAACUGGAGGAAGGUGGGGAUGACGUCAAGUCAUCAUGGCCCUUACGACCAGGGCUACACACGUGCUACAAUGGCGCAUACAAAGAGAAGCGACCUCGCGAGAGCAAGCGGACCUCAUAAAGUGCGUCGUAGUCCGGAUUGGAGUCUGCAACUCGACUCCAUGAAGUCGGAAUCGCUAGUAAUCGUGGAUCAGAAUGCCACGGUGAAUACGUUCCCGGGCCUUGUACACACCGCCCGUCACACCAUGGGAGUGGGUUGCAAAAGAAGUAGGUAGCUUAACCUUCGGGAGGGCGCUUACCACUUUGUGAUUCAUGACUGGGGUGAAGUCGUAACAAGGUAACCGUAGGGGAACCUGCGGUUGGAUCACCUCCUUA